UACGGAGGGUGCAAGCGUUAUCCGGAUUCACUGGGUUUAAAGGGUGCGUAGGAGGGCAGGUAAGUCAGUGGUGAAAUCUCCAAGCUUAACUUGGAAAUUGCCGUUGAUACUAUCUGUCUUGAAUAUUGUGGAGGUGAGCGGAAUAUGUCAUGUAGCGGUGAAAUGCUUAGAUAUGACAUAGAACACCAAUUGCGAAGGCAGCUCGCUACACAUAUAUUGACUCUGAGGCACGAAAGCGUGGGGAUCAAACAGG
rnacentral:rRNA from 1 species